CUUCACUCACUAGCUGCAGCUGACAGGGAGAUCAUGGAAUGACUGCAGAUUCAACUACAGUACAAAACCCUCUGUUAUUGGUGUGGUGCAGUAUGUGGUCAGUGUGGUGCAGUAUGAGGACACAAGUGAAGUGUGGAGCAGUAUGUGGGGACAACAGACCACGAGUGAAGCUUCUCACAAUACACAACGGUGUUCCUUCAGGUAACAGCUGAUGUACGUGAAGGCCAAUGGAGAAGUGACAGAACCUCGAGCAAGAUUUAACUACCAGCAUGUUACUUCAGCCUCAUCAGUUAAGUUACUUGUACAAUAUAUCUUGGCUAGUAUCUUUAUCCAAUAAACCACUCGACACUGCUCCUACACUGGGCAGUGGAGGGGGUGUGUGGGGGGUGCCUUGCUGACUGUUUGAGGCCUAAUAGGUCUGUGUGUAGACCUAGUGAUCAGUGUGUGGGGCCUGGCGGACACUCUUGGAGGACUGUGUUGGAGGGCUAUGGAGGACGAUCUGUAGACAGACUGAU
rnacentral:lncRNA from 1 species